rnacentral:misc_RNA from 1 species
AAAUAACAAGAUCAGGGUAUUUGUCCUUGAGCAACCGAAUUGUUCGAGGCACUAAACCAUUAUCAUUAUAAGCUUCAUCCCCUGUUGGAGUCUUCAAUGCAUCUGGAACUUUAGGGAAUAACACAACAGAAUUGACACCAACAUCCCGAGCUUUUGAAACCUCUUCCAAGAGUCCAUGUCUCCAUCCAAGUCUAUAACAUCCAGGCAUAGCUCCAAUUGGUGUGUCCUCCUCCCCUUCAUGAAUGAAUAGUGGAUAUACAAAAUUGGAAGGUGAUAGGUUGGUCUCCUGAAAUGAUGCUCUCAAUGCUGG